CGGCCCAGACUCCUACGGGAGGCAGCAGUAGGGAAUCUUCCGCAAUGGACGAAAGUCUGACGGAGCAACGCCGCGUGAGUGAUGAAGGUUUUCGGAUCGUAAAGCUCUGUUGUUAGGGAAGAACAAGUACCGUUCGAAUAGGGCGGUACCUUGACGGUACCUAACCAGAAAGCCACGGCUAACUACGUGCCAGCAGCCGCGGUAAUACGUAGGUGGCAAGCGUUGUCCGGAAUUAUUGGGCGUAAAGGGCUCGCAGGCGGUUUCUUAAGUCUGAUGUGAAAGCCCCCGGCUCAACCGGGGAGGGUCAUUGGAAACUGGGGAACUUGAGUGCAGAAGAGGAGAGUGGAAUUCCACGUGUAGCGGUGAAAUGCGUAGAGAUGUGGAGGAACACCAGUGGCGAAGGCGACUCUCUGGUCUGUAACUGACGCUGAGGAGCGAAAGCGUGGGGAGCGAACAGGAUUAGAUACCCUGGUAGUCCACGCCGUAAACGAUGAGUGCUAAGUGUUAGGGGGUUUCCGCCCCUUAGUGCUGCAGCUAACGCAUUAAGCACUCCGCCUGGGGAGUACGGUCGCAAGACUGAAACUCAAAGGAAUUGACGGGGGCCCGCACAAGCGGUGGAGCAUGUGGUUUAAUUCGAAGCAACGCGAAGAACCUUACCAGGUCUUGACAUCCUCUGACAAUCCUAGAGAUAGGACGUCCCCUUCGGGGGCAGAGUGACAGGUGGUGCAUGGUUGUCGUCAGCUCGUGUCGUGAGAUGUUGGGUUAAGUCCCGCAACGAGCGCAACCCUUGAUCUUAGUUGCCAGCAUUCAGUUGGGCACUCUAAGGUGACUGCCGGUGACAAACCGGAGGAAGGUGGGGAUGACG
rnacentral:rRNA from 1 species